rnacentral:rRNA from 1 species
GACAGAGGGUGCAAGCGUUGUUCGGAAUUACUGGGCGUAAAGGGCGUGUAGGCGGCGGAGUGUGUCCGGUGUGAAAUCCCUUGGCUUAACCAAGGAAGUGCAUCGGAAACUACUUCGCUUGAGUGCGAGAGAGGGUGGCGGAAUUCCCGGUGUAGAGGUGAAAUUCGUAGAUAUCGGGAGGAACACCAGAGGCGAAGGCGGCCACCUGGAUCGUAACUGACGCUGAGACGCGAAAGCGUGGGUAGCAAACAGG